rnacentral:lncRNA from 1 species
CCGGCAGAAAGUGGCAGGAAAACUCAGCCCAUUCCAAGCAGCCUGGUGCUCCAGUGGUAAGGGAGCCGCCACCAGAACCACCAGCCCCAGCACCCCUCCUUUCCGGGACCCCAGAGGAACCUCAGAAUGGGUACCAUCCAUGGGGGAUUGGGUACCCACUGUAAGGCCAACAGGGGCCGGUUUUAAGGGCUACCAUUCUUACCGUCCGCCAGGUGCACAAGUUCACAAUCAUCCCAGGCUCCUUCUUCAUCAUCGUGCCCUCCAUCCAAUCAUUCAAGUCAAGUACCAGCCGCCGCCACCGCCAUCAAUUCUGCUUCCUCAACAUCUCUCACAAGGGUGGGUCUGUUGGGAUCAGCACUGA